UUGGAUGAUGAAAUGCACUGGGCUCCGAGCAGUUCUGCUGCAUUGGCUUGACGGAUGUGCACUUGCCUAGAAAGCAUUGUCUGAACU